CAGGGAGACAACAAAAUGUUUAAUAUUAUUUUGUCACCUUAGGUCGAUCGGUAUCUCACGUUCUUAAUUUAUUAAGAAUUUCAUUUUCUAAGUUUUUCUAGGUCACACCCAUUAUUUUUCCUGGGCCAUUAGCUCAGGUGGUUAGAGCGCACCCCUGAUAAGGGUGAGGUCCCUGGUUCAAGUCCAGGAUGGCCCAUAUCUCUAUGUUGGGGGUAUAGCUCAGUUGGUAGAGCGCCUGCUUUGCAAGCAGGAUGUCAGCGGUUCGAGUCCGCUUACCUCCACUGAUUACCACCUCUUCCAUAAUUGGUAGAAAGGAAAUGUUUUGACUUGUGAUCAAAUUCUGAACGACUCUAGCUUCCUAAUUAAGACAUUAAGAUGCUGGACUCAUUGAAUUAAUUUCAUUGUUUUCAGAGAACCUUGACAACUGCAUAGAUUUUUUUUUUUAAAGACAAUAAGCAUCUUUAAAGAUGCAGAUUUAUUAUUUGUGCGAAUGCAUUAAUAACAAUUCUAUUAAGCUGAUGCUUCAA
rnacentral:tRNA from 1 species